rnacentral:rRNA from 1 species
AGACGUAGGGGGCUAGCGUUGCCCGGAUUCACUGGGCGUAAAGCGCGCGUAGGCGGUUCGGCAAGUCGCCCGUGAAAGCCCCUGGCUCAACUGGGGGAGGUCGGGCGAUACUGCCGGGCUAGAGGGCGGCAGAGGGAGGUGGAACGGCCGGAGUAGCGGUGAAAUGCGUAGAUACCGGCCGGAAUCCCGAUGGCGAAGGCAACCUCCUGGGCCGUUCCUGACGCUGAGGCGCGAAAGCUGGGGGAGCGAACCGGAUUAGAUACCCUUGUAGUCC